rnacentral:rRNA from 1 species
UACGUAGGGGGCAAGCGUUGUCCGGAAUCAUUGGGCGUAAAGCGCGUGUAGGCGGCUCGGUAAGUCUGCUGUGAAAGUCCAGGGCUCAACCCUGGGAUGCCGGUGGAUACUGUCGAGCUUGAGUACGGAAGAGGCGAGUGGAAUUCCUGGUGUAGCGGUGAAAUGCGCAGAUAUCAGGAGGAACACCAAUUGCGAAGGCAGCUCGCUGGGACGUUACUGACGCUGAGACGCGAAAGCGUGGGGAGCAAACAGG